AUUCACUGGUAUAAAAAGAGAGGGAGCACAAACACACACGCCGUAUAUAUAUAUAUAUAUAUAUAUAUAUACACAUACACACACACGGCGUGUGUGUUUGUGCUCCCUCUCUUUUUAUACCAGUAAAUUG
rnacentral:miRNA from 1 species